GCAACACGAAAUCAGUUGAAAUCUACUUUCAGUAUUUGCUUAAAAAAUCUGUUGAGCAAUGCAAAGAACAUUCAUUGAAAAAUAUCCAGUGGGAAAAUGGGAGCCAGACCCUAGUGAAAGCUGUUUUGGCUCAAGCUAGAGACCUGAAGAAGUUGAUCUGGUGAAAGGCGGAAGGAUUUGGAUGGCAUCCGAUGUCAAGAGGAAGCUGGGAAUCCACCUUUGGGAUUGGAUGGAGAUAGAGCCCUUCUGAUACCACGUAUAUUGAAAGAAUGGAAAAAAUCAUUUUCUCCUUUCACCUCUCUUCUCUUCCCUCUCCCUUCUCACUUCUCUUUCUUCUCUUUCCCCCUGUCUCUCCCCUCCCUCUCCUUCCUGUGCACAGCGUCAUCCAGGCCUUCUAAUAAAGAGUUUGGUUUCUUUCUA